GGAAUGAUUUUGUUUUGCUACAAAUUCACCUUGUCAUCAAGGAAAGGACAAUAUUACUAGAUGUAGUCCAAGAUAUUCAACUGCACGCAAAGGUAAAAAGAUGGUCAUGAUGUUUGUACUCAAUUGCUUCAACAGUGUAUUAAGGUACAAAUUUUAAGCUGCUGCUCAACUUACAAAUGCUUUAAGUUUUCACUACUGACAAUAUGGAGGAAUAGACUACCUGAUGGACUCUUGCAGUGAAUACAACUAAGUCAUGAAUUUAUCUAGGUUAAACUGAAGAAGGAGGAGAAUGAUUAAAUUCUGUAGGCAGAAAGAAGAAAUGGAAUCCAAAGUCUAUGGGAGAUUUGCACAAUAAAUUCAAAAGCAAUGGAAUUAAGAAUGUAAACAUAUUGAUAUGUUAGUAUCAUGAGAUUCUCCUCCCUCAAAAGAAGUUUACACCUAAAAUCUUUUUUUUCCUCCGGAGAAUAAGCAGUAAAGCCACAUGGUUGAGGAGCUUCUAUGCCCAAAAUGGUGAGCUUUGGUAGCCUGGGAAGGGUCAGAGGGAAGAAAGGCCGAAGAAAGGCUACAGCAGAGAUGGUAUCAGCCAAUAAGCCAAGCAUAUUUACAAUGGAUACUGUGGUAAAAUGAUAUAUUAGUUGGGAUUCUUCAGAGGAAAAGGAAUAAUAGAAUGUGUGCGUUUGUGUGGAUAUGUUUGUACAUAUGUAUAUAUUUAUAUGGUCCUGUGCCACAUAACAAUGUUUCAAUUAAGAACAGACCACAUAUACUGUGGUGGUCCCAUAAGAUUACAAUAUGGUAUUUUUACUGUACUUGUUCUAUGCUUAGAUAUGCUUAGAUACACAAAUACUUACCACUGUGUGACAAUUGCCUACAGCAUUCAGUACAAUAACAUGCUGUACAGGUUUGUGGCCUAGGAACAACAGGCUAUACUAUAUAGCCUAGGUAUGUAGUAGGCUAUACCAUCUAGGUUUGUGUAAGCACACUCUAUGAUGUUCAUACAGUGACAAAAUCUCCUAACAAUGCAUUUCUCAGAAUGUAUUGCCAUUAUUAAGCUGUAUUCCCAUUAUUAAGCUAUACAUGAUUGUAUGUGUGUGUGUGUGGGUACAUAUAUAUAUAUAUAUAUAGAGAGAGAGAGAGAGAGAGAAAGAGAGAGAAAUCUACUUUAAGGAAUAGGCUUAUGCAAUUAUGAGGGUUGGCAACGCUAAAAUCUGCAGGCAGACAGAAGCUGAAGAACUAAAGAAGAGUUGAUGUUGCAGUUGGAUCCUAAAGGCUGUCCAGAGGUGGAAUUAUCUCUGCCUCAGAGGACCUCAGUCUUUUCUAAGGCCUUCUACUGAUUGGAUGAGGCCCACUCACAUUAUGGAAGUUAAUCUGUUUUGCUUAGAGUCUACUGAUUUAAAUGUUAAUCUCAUCUAAAAAAUAUGUUAAUAGCUCCAUCUAGAUGGGUGUUUGGCAAAAUAUCUAGGUGCCAUGGCCUAGCCAAGUUGACAGAUAAAACUAACCAUCACAGACAGGAACCGUCAGGACUGUAAAAAUUACGUUUUGGGUAUAAAUCUAUUUAAAGUAAACAAAAGUAUAAUUUCAUAGGAGCAUUUACAUAAUUAAAUUUUACAAAGCAUAGAAACAGGAGACAGAAAAUUACCAAAACUUUUUGAAAUUUAGUACUAGUUAUUUUUAAUAGUAAAUGAUAAAUAUUAUUUAUAUUUUUAAUGAUUUAUCUUAUUUAAUGAUUAUAAACUCUCAUGAAAAUUAUAGAUUCUUUGUCUCCUCCAAAUAUUUAUAGUCAUAAGCCACAUAAUGUUUCAGUUAAUGGACACUUAUAUCAUAGAGGUCUCAUGAGACUAUAAAUAACAUACUUAUUGUACCUUUUCUAUGUUUAGACCAUGCUUAGAUACACAAAUGCUUACCAUUGUAUUACAGUUGCAUACAGUACAGUAACUGCUGUACAUAAUUGUAGCCUAGGAACAAUAGGCUAUAACCUAUAGUCUAUGUGUGUAGUAUGCUACAGUGUCUAGGUUUUUUGUAAAUACACUAUAAUAUUCACACAACUAUCAAAUUAUGUAACAACUCAUUUCUCACAGAGUAUCCCCAUUGUUAAGUGAUACAUGACUGUAUCUGGAAGAUAUACUUACAUAGUAAUUAGUCAGAGGUUGAAAAUAAUCCUUAAAGAGAAUCUUGCAGUUACUUCAUACAAAGAGAUGAAUACAAGAGUGGAAUAUGUUUACGUUUUCUAGAUCGGUAGAAUUCAAAGCAGUUAUGUACACUUUCCAGGAAAUAAAAAGAAGAAAUGAAUUUUUUUUCCUUAUGUGGGGAAACUUUCUUUAUCUUGUAUAUGUUGUUACUGCUACCAUGAUUACAUCAUUUCUCUUUCAACAAUAGAAGGCAACAGUUUGAGGUUUAAAAGACA
rnacentral:lncRNA from 1 species